UACGGGGGGAGCAAGCGUUGUUCGGAAUCACUGGGCGUAAAGGGAGUCUAGGCGGGGAGGUAAGUCAGGGGUGAAAGCCCACGGCCCAACCGUGGAAGUGCCUUUGAUACUGCCUGUCUCGAGGGAGGUAGGGGCGUGCGGAACUUCCGGUGGAGCGGUGAAAUGCGUAGAUAUUGGGAGGAACACCAGUGGCGAAGGCGGCUCACUGGACCGGAACUGACGCUGAGGCGCGAAAGCGUGGGGAGCAAACAGG
rnacentral:rRNA from 1 species